rnacentral:rRNA from 1 species
GAGAAAGAGAAUAAGAGCGAACGGAGGAUGCCUAGGCUUCUGGAGGCGAGGAAGGACGUGGUAAGCUGCGAAAAGCUCCGGGGAUCUGCAAACAGGAAUUGAUCCGGAGAUGUCCGAAUGGGGGAACCCCCAUGGUUGAAGGCCAUGGACCAACUUAGAGUUGGGGCAAACGCAGGGAACUGAAACAUCUUAGUACCUGCAGGAAGAGAAAGAAACAUCGAUUCCCUUAGUAGUGGCGAUCGAACGGGGAAGAGCCUAAACCGGCUGCGUUACGGCGCAGUCGGGGUUGUAGGAGCGCUUAAAGGAAACAGACAAGGAACCGGAACCGUCUGGAAAGUCGGGCCGUAGCGGGUGACAGCCCCUUACGGGUAACGAGGUCUGUUCAGGAGCGCCACCUGAGUAGGGCGGGACACGUGGUAUCCUGUCUGAAUCUGCGGCGACCAUGCCGCAAGGCUAAACACUACCAGAAGACCGAUAGUGUACCAGUACUGUGAAGGAAAGGUGGGAAGCACCCCGGGCAGGGGAGUGAAAUAGAACCUGAAACCGUUCGUUUACAAGCGGUCGGAGCACGUAAGUGCGACGGCGUGCCUUUUGGAUAAUGAGCCUACGAGUUGUGUCAUGUCGGCGAGGUUAAGUCCUUCAGGGAUGGAAGCCGGAGCGAGAGCGAGUCUUAAUAGGGCGUUGAGUCGGCGUGCACAGACGCGAAACCUAGUGAUCUACCCAUGGCCAGGGUGAAGGUGCCGUAACAGGCACUGGAGGCCCGAACCAGUUUACGUUGAAAAGUGCUUGGAUGAGCUGUGGGUAGGAGUGAAAGGCCAAUCAAACUGGGAGAUAGCUCGUACUCCCCGAAAUGUCUUUUGGGACAGCCUCGGUUAUGUCUUCGUGAGGUAGAGCGACUGAUAGGAAGAGAGGGCUUCAUCGCCUAUCGAUUUCUGAUAAACUCCGAAUGCGCGAAGAUUAGAGACCGGGAGUGAGUCGUCGGGUGCUAAUAUCCGUCGGCGAGAGGGUAAGAGCCCAGACCUACAGCUAAGGCCCCUAAGAGCAGUUUAAGUUGAGACAGAACGAGGUGACAUCGCAUGGACAGCUAGGAUGUUAGCUUGGAAGCAGCUAUUCAUUCAAAGAGUGCGUAACAGCUCACUAGUCGAGCGAUGACGCGUGGAUGAUGACCGGGCAUCAAG